rnacentral:rRNA from 1 species
GAUGAACGCUGGCGGCGUGCCUAAUACAUGCAAGUCGAGCGAACAGACGAGGAGCUUGCUCCUCUUACGUUAGCGGCGGACGGGUGAGUAACACGUGGAUAACCUACCUAUAAGACUGGGAUAACUUCGGGAAACCGGAGCUAAUACCGGAUAAUAUAUUGAACCGCAUGGUUCAAUAGUGAAAGACGGUUUUGCUGUCACUUAUAGAUGGAUCCGCGCCGCAUUAGCUAGUUGGUAAGGUAACGGCUUACCAAGGCAACGAUGCGUAGCCGACCUGAGAGGGUGAUCGGCCACACUGGAACUGAGACACGGUCCAGACUCCUACGGGAGGCAGCAGUAGGGAAUCUUCCGCAAAGGGCGAAAGCUUGACGGAGCAACGCCGCGUGAGUGAUGAAGGUCUUCGGAUCGUAAAACUCUGUUAUUAGGGAAGAACAAAUGUGUAAGUAACUAUGCACGUCUUGACGGUACCUAAUCAGAAAGCCACGGCUAACUACGUG